CGGCGAACGGGUGAGUAACACGUGAGUAAUCUGCCUCUGGCUUCGGGAUAGCCACCGGAAACGGUGAUUAAUACCGGAUAUGACGCAUCACCGCAUGGUGUGUGUGUGGAAAGUUUUUUCGGCCAGGGAUGUGCUCGCGGCCUAUCAGCUUGUUGGUGGGGUAAUGGCCUACCAAGGCUUCGACGGGUAGCCGGCCUGAGAGGGUGACCGGCCACACUGGGACUGAGACACGGCCCAGACUCCUACGGGAGGCAGCAGUGGGGAAUAUUGGACAAUGGGCGGAAGCCUGAUCCAGCAACGCCGCGUGAGGGAUGACGGCCUUCGGGUUGUAAACCUCUUUCAGCACAGACGAAGCGCAAGUGACGGUAUGUGCAGAAGAAGGACCGGCCAACUACGUGCCAGCAGCCGCGGUAAUACGUAGGGUCCGAGCGUUGUCCGGAAUUAUUGGGCGUAAAGGGCUCGUAGGCGGUUUGUCGCGUCGGGAGUGAAAACACCGGGCUUAACUCGGUGCUUGCUUUCGAUACGGGCAGACUAGAGGCAUUCAGGGGAGAACGGAAUUCCUGGUGUAGCGGUGAAAUGCGCAGAUAUCAGGAGGAACACCGGUGGCGAAGGCGGUUCUCUGGGAAUGUCCUGACGCUGAGGAGCGAAAG
rnacentral:rRNA from 1 species